AGCAGCCGCGGUAAUUCCAGCUCCAAUAGCGUAUAUUAAAGUUGUUGCAGUUAAAAAGCUCGUAGUUGAAACUUGGGUCUGGCUGGCAGGUCCGCCUCACCGCGUGUACUUGUCCGGCCGGGCCUUUCCCUCUGUGGAACCCCAUGCCCUUCACUGGGUGUGGCGGGGAAACAGGACUUUUACUUUGAAAAAAU
rnacentral:rRNA from 1 species